GACGAACGCUGGCGGCGUGCUUAACACAUGCAAGUCGAACGGUAAGGCUCUUCGGAGUACACGAGUGGCGAACGGGUGCGUAACACGUGACCAACCUACCCUUAACAUCGGGAUAACAUUUGGAAACAGAUGCUAAUACCGGAUACGAACUUGGAAGGCAUCUUCUGAGUUGGAAAGCUCCGGCGGUUAGGGAUGGGGUCGCGGCCUAUCAGCUUGUUGGUGAGGUAAUGGCUCACCAAGGCGACGACGGGUAGCCGGCCUGAGAGGGCGACCGGCCACACUGGGACUGAGAUACGGCCCAGACUCCUACGGGAGGCAGCAGUGGGGAAUAUUGCACAAUGGGCGCAAGCCUGAUGCAGCAACGCCGCGUGCGGGAUGACGGCCUUCGGGUUGUAAACCGCUUUCGGCAGGGACGAAGUGAAAAUGA
rnacentral:rRNA from 1 species